AUGCUCUGGUUUCUCUUCAGAUCAUAUAAAUCUUUCACCUUUUACUAAAGAUUUCCAUGGAGAAGAACGUUCAGAGUUUGAAUUAACUUUUUGUUGCACUGCUUUUGUGAUAGGGC